CCUACGGGUGGCAGCAGUCGAGAAUCAUUCACAAUGGGGGAAACCCUGAUGGUGCGACGCCGCGUGGGGGAAUGAAGUUCUUCGGAUUGUAAACCCCUGUCAUGUGGGAGCAAAUUAAAAAGAUAGUACCACAAGAGGAAGAGACUGCAAACUCUGUGCCAGCAGCCGCGGUAAUACAGAGGUCUCAAGCGUUGUUCGGAAUCACUGGGCGUAAAGCGUGCGUAGGCUGUUUCGUAAGUCGUGUGUGAAAGGCGCGGGCUCAACCCGCGGACGGCACAUGAUACUGGGAGACUGGAGUAAGGGAGGGGGAACCGGAAUUCUCGGUGUAGGAGUGAAAUGCGUAGAUAUCGAGAGGAACACUCGUGGCGAAGGCGAGUUCCUGGACAUUAACUGACGCUGAGGCACGAAGGCCAGGGGAGCGAAAGGGAUUAGAUACCCCUGUAGUC
rnacentral:rRNA from 1 species